AACAAGCAUACAUCCCAGGA
rnacentral:misc_RNA from 1 species